rnacentral:lncRNA from 1 species
UCCGGUCCAAAUUAUACAGUCCCAAAAGAUAAAAUGCAAAAAUAUAAAUCCUAUUCUAUACUAAUCCUAGACUAAUGCUCUAUUCGACGCCUCGGGCCUUCAUCACGAACGUCCUCCGAGUAAAAGAUACCUCGGGGAAAUCCUUGGCUAAAUAAAUACAUUUCUUCAAUGCGAGAGAACCAAACUAUUCAAUAGAAUUUCAAAUAUUCAACAGAAUUUCAAACAUUCAACAAAACACUUAAUCCUAAAUUUUGCCUACCCAAACCUGUAUUUGUCUAUUCUGUUUCAACACAUCACAAUUCUAUCACGUUUAACAUUCACAUUUUUCUCCAAAAUAUCCAACGAAAAUAAAUUGGGACUAAACAAUAUUAAUUUUUUUUAUCAAUUCCUUCCAUCAAACCCCACAUUCCUUUUUAACACCAAAAUUCACAAUUCAAGAUUACUAUUUCAACAAUCCACAACCAUUUCUUCUACGAAACUAAAUAAAGCAAAUUGAUAUCACCCAACAUUCAAUCAUGUCUCACACAAAUCAAACACGUAUGAUGAAAUAAAAUAAGAAGUGAUAGAAUUGGACCUUUCAGUGAUUCAUUUUCGUUGAUAAUAAUAUUUAAGAAGGCCCAGACUCUGAGUUCGGAAUAGAACACCUCGACAAUGAACUAAGCUCCAACUCGGUAUCGCAAACCCAACCCUAUUUCACCUGUUUCCAUCAAAUGUCACCGGAAUCAGAUCGCAAGCAGUCAAUUUCAAUCGAUUGGAGACCGAUUUUACUAGUUCCAAUUGGUUGAACUGAGUUUUCAAAUGGGAAACCAGUCACCGGAAAUAUCAAACCAUGGGACUUUUCAACUCUCCAUCGAUCUCUCUUUGCUUAUCUCUCUCUUGCGCUCGAUCCCUUUUUCAACCUGUUUUUGAUCCCUCCUCCUCUAUUUUUUUCAAGCAAAUUCUUUCUCCCUUUUGAAAUCUCGGAUCUAUCUCUUCCUUACUGUUCAAUCUCUCUCCCUUUUUAAUUUUGUGUAUGUGGGUGUUUUUCUUCAACUGUGGGUCUGCCUAAAAUUUGUGUAUGGUGGUGUAUUCGUAUGUGAUGGUGAGGAGUGUAUGUGUGUUUUAAUUCCAGUGAAGUGUGUAUUAGUGUGUUAAAGUGAGUUUCCAGGUGGGUCGGUGUGUACAAGUGAGUAUAUUUGAUAGUGUGUGGACGAAGGUGUGCGGACGAUGGUGUGGAAGAGAAGAUGGAUAAUCAGAGUCUUGGUGUAUUUUUCUGGGUGUUCUCGAGUAAAGAUGAUGAAGAAGAAGCAAAAAGGAAAAACCCC